UACAGAGGGGGCAAGCGUUGUUCGGAAUUACUGGGCGUAAAGGGCGCGUAGGCGGCCCGCUAAGUCGAACGUGAAAUCCCCAGGCUUAACCUGGGAACUGCGUCCGAUACUGGCGGGCUUGAAUCCGGGAGAGGGAUGUGGAAUUCCAGGUGUAGCGGUGAAAUGCGUAGAUAUCUGGAGGAACACCGGUGGCGAAGGCGGCAUCCUGGACCGGCAUUGACGCUGAGGCGCGAAAGCUAGGGGAGCAAACAGG
rnacentral:rRNA from 1 species